UAGGUCAAGUAGGAGCAGCAACAGCACACGCUCCUGCUGGCACACACACACACACACACACACACAUACACAUACACACACAUCCAGACGCAGGCGCACAGCUACCUGUUUCGCCUUUUAUUAUCUCCUCCCGCCGCCUCCCUUCUUAGUCUUCCAUCCUGCUCUUUGUUCGGGCUAUACUUCAUCGGGAAUAGCGCGUGCGUCACCGCUGGCGCUCCUGCUUAGCUCUUUCUGCGUUCUCGGCUUCACAGCGCACCCAACCCCCGCCGCUGCUCUUUCCCCCUCCCCCCUGCAUCGCCCAUCGGUAUCUUCUCAGCUGCGGUCAAGUAAAGACACACCCGCACAGAGAGGGGACGAAGGCGACACUGCCCUGCACCAGUGCAGCGGGAAUAAACUCUCACAGCCACGAUGUCGUACCUUCUGCACUCGUCAUCGUACGCAGCCCCUACGGCGGCUGCCGAGCGCGACGGCCCCGCCAGAGACGCCGGGGAUGGCCCCCUCAACGUUCUUCUGCGCAGAGUUCACUCUCUUCUCCACAGAGAGCCGUCUCGGGUGGCACGUGCGACUAACAUCAUGGGCGACGGCAGCAGUGGUAGUUUCAAGCGCAUCGAGAGACACAGCGGCGCCUCUUCUGCGAGCCGCCGCGAUGUGCUGCUGUCCUUAACGCAUAGCGGCGCAAGAGUGGCGCGUGCCCCCGAGGUGCCAGGCCUCAUCGAGCAUGGCGGCGGCUUUGCCAUCCCUGCAGCUAAGAAGUCUCCCCGGCCUGCUCCUACACCGGUCGCACCUCCCACAACCAACGAAUCUCCUCUUCAACGCCCCCGAAGCGCUCGGCCCGUUGACGCUGCAACAGAUGCCAGCCUCUACGAGCGCGCUGCCGAUUACACCGACCUGGAGGAGAUACUGCGGUGCCCUCUGCCGCCGGUGCCGGGCUGUCCGACACCGUGCGCCUUCGGUAGACACUCGGUCAACUUGAGCAGCGACGGCAGCGUCACCGCAGCUGCGACUCUCUCACCGCCACCUGCGCCUUCUUCUGCACCUCAGCCACCGCUGGUGUUCCGCUGCAUCGCUGCCGACUCCGACACCGGCAUUUCUGUGUACAGCACCCCGGUCGAGGAUUGCCCGAUGCACCUCAUGCGCGCCUACGCGGUGCUGCCGUGCUCGCCCGGGGAUGUGCUCCAAUACAUGGACAACGACAUUCGCCCCAGGUGGGACUCGCACUUACGUCGUAGCGCGCUGCUGCGAGAGCUGACACCACCUGAGCAGACCAAGGCGGUGGAGCGUCAGUAUCGCUUGUCGACCUCCAUCGGCACUGCAGGAGCGGCUGUUAGUCAGCGCAGCCCAACCAGCCUGUCAGCGCAGAGCCGUGGAGCGCUCCGCCAACGGGCAUCAUCCUCUUCACGUACGACGGACGCUAUCCACGGUGACUGUGGCAGCGCGUUGGUGUCUGGCCCCGCCACUGCCGCCGACUCGUCGCCGACUGCUUUUAAGUACCUUCCGGGUCAGCGCCGCGUUGCGAUCCACUACCUUGAGACACGCAGUCCCGUCCCGUUCGUGCAAGACCGUGAUUUCGAAAUCGUCGUCGCGGAGGAGGUGCGGUCGGACGACACAGCGUACGUGAAAGCCUUCUCUACCCCGCUGGGCUACCACAUGCCCCUCGGCCCGCAUCAGUCGCGCUACGUGCGGGCAGUGGUGCUGCUCUCCGGCAUGGUGGCCCGCCCACUCGACGCCGCUCGCGUGGAGGAGGUGUUGCCGCCAGUGCUACUGCGACAUCAUCAAGCGGCGACUCAGCACGGCGGCAUCGAGGUGGCGGGUAUAGCGACAAAGAAGCCCAGUACUUCCACCACCGUGUCUGGCGACGCGGCAGCUCGCGCGGCAAAUGUGGCGGUGCCGCACCGGUACUGUGUUGUGGAGUACGUUGGUCUUGUGCACCCCAUGGGCUUGCUACCUGCAGUUCUGGUCAACAUGAUCAUCUCAGCACAACUGAACGCGAUGCGUAAGAUGCAGGCCUUCAUCACGCAACACCCUAUGUCCACCCUCCGACCGAGGAGUGCCACGCACGCGGCAACGGACGAGGCGACUGACCAGCCGCUGCAGGAGCUGCUGACGUCGCUGCAAUCGCCGUCGCCCUCACCGCGCAAACGCAGUCACAUGGGGAAGUCUCAAGAACGCGGCGCCGGCGCUGAGACGGCACCGCUCGCCGGAUCUUGUGCCUCCUCGUGGUGGCGGCGGCAGAUGCACCGUUUUGCAUCGAAUUUGUAACUCGACGCUUGAAGGCAACGCGACGCGCACGCCAAGACAGACAAGAUGCAACGCGUAGGAGGUCAGUGGCCAUCGCAGCUGGUGCCUUCGUCGGGUGCCACUGCUCCUCUCUCCCUCGGCCUCUGAGCGUGCAUGGGGCUACGUGUGCGCCAUGCACGCCCUUCCCCGUGACAUCACAGCGAGAUUUUUGGGUCGCGGCUCC
rnacentral:misc_RNA from 1 species